rnacentral:rRNA from 1 species
UACGAAGGGGGCUAGCGUUGCUCGGGAUGACUGGGCGUAAAGGGCGCGUAGGCGGCUCAUACAGUCAGAUGUGAAAUUCCUGGGCUUAACCUGGGGGCUGCAUUUGAUACGUGUGGGCUUGAGUGGGGAAGAGGGUCGUGGAAUUCCCAGUGUAGAGGUGAAAUUCGUAGAUAUUGGGAAGAACACCGGUGGCGAAGGCGGCGACCUGGUCCUUGACUGACGCUGAGGCGCGAAAGCGUGGGGAGCAAACAGG